rnacentral:sRNA from 1 species
CUCCAUCUCGGCUGAGCCAGGCACUGUGAUCCCCCAGGGGAGCCAUGUGACUUUCGUGUGCCGGGGCCCGGUUGGGGUUCAAACAUUCCGCCUGGAGAGGGAGAGUAGAUCCACAUACAAUGAUACUGAAGAUGUGUCUCAAGCUAGUCCAUCUGAGUCAGAGGCCAGAUUCCGCAUUGACUCAAAACCUCUGGAGGCCCGGACUCCCCCGACACAGAGCCCGGCUCCUCAGCUGGACCCACGCAGAGGCCGUCGGACAACAGUCACAAUGAGCAUGCACCUGCUUCCCAAGGCCUGAAAGCUGAGCAUCUUUAUAUUCUCAUCGGGGUCUCAGUGGUCUUCCUCUUCUGUCUCCUCCUCCUGGUCCUCUUCUGCCUCCAUCGCCAGAAUCAGAUAAAGCAGGGGCCCCCCAGAAGCAAGGACGAGGAGCAGAAGCCACAGCAGAGGUGAGGCCCCUGGGAAUGACUCCCGGACCUCCACCCAGUGCUCGGCCGCCAGGCUGCCCCUGAGGUUCACUUUUAUUUUUCCUCUCAGGCCCGACCUGACUGUUGAUGUUCUAGAGAGGACAGCAGACAAGGCCACAGUCAAUGGACUUCCUAAGAAGGACAGAGAGACGGACAGCUCGGCCCUGGCUGCAGGGAGUUCCCAGGAGGUGACGUAUGCUCAGCUGGACCACUGGGCCCUCACACAGAGGACAGCCCGGGCUGUGUCCCCACGGUCCACAAAGCCCAUGGCCGAGUCCAUCACGUAUGCAGCCGUUGCCAGACACUGACCCCAUACCCACCUGGCCUCUGCACCUGAGGGUAGAAAGUCACUCUAGGAAAAGCCUGAAGCAGCCA